rnacentral:rRNA from 1 species
UACGGAGGGGGUUAGCGUUGUUCGGAAUUACUGGGCGUAAAGCGCGCGUAGGCGGAUUAGAAAGUUGGGGGUGAAAUCCCGGGGCUCAACCUCGGAACUGCCUCCAAAACUGCUAGUCUAGAGUUCGAGAGAGGUGAGUGGAAUUCCGAGUGUAGAGGUGAAAUUCGUAGAUAUUCGGAGGAAUACCAGUGGCGAAGGCGGCUCACUGGCUCGAUACUGACGCUGAGGUGCGAAAGUGUGGGGAGCAAACAGG